rnacentral:rRNA from 1 species
UACGGGGGGGGGCAAGCGUUGUUCGGAAUUACUGGGCGUAAAGGGCGCGUAGGCGGUUGGAUAAGUCAGCUGUGAAAACCACGGGCUUAACUCGUGGCCUGCAGUUGAGACUGUCUGGCUUGAGUGUGGGAGAGGAGAGUGGAAUUCCUGGUGUAGCGGUGAAAUGCGCAGAUAUCAGGAAGAACACCCGUGGCUAAGGCGGUUCUCUAGUACGGUACUGACGCUGAGACGCGAAAGCGUGGGGAGCGAACAGG